AGAAAAUGUUUUCCCUCAAAAGUUAAUUAGCCUCCUUAGCUUUUUGGGGAGGGUCUGGCCAUCUGGCUGCCGACCUUCCCGUCUCCUUUCUUUUUAAUUUCGUUUUAUCUUAAUUUUUAGAUGAUUUUUGUUAGUUUUCUUGCUUUUGGUUAAGUCUCCCUAUGUGGAGUGCAUUACCCCUCUUUAGAUGGGGUUUUUGUUGCUUACUUUGGAGAUGGUUCUGCAUGUUGAUCUUUUUUGUUCAGAUCGAUAUCAACAACGCAGUUUGUCUUCCUUGCUUUUAGUGGUGCUAUGUUAGUGGAUGGAUUCCAGAAUACUCCCUAUUCGGCUGGCAUCUGAAGGGUAGAUCUGGUGCCUUUUCACGUGGUGCUGGUGGAUGAUCCCGUGAGCUAUGUGAGAUUGAAAAGCUGGAACUCUACCAAGCCUUCUCUGGUUCACUGAAAGUUCCAUGAUUCUUGUCCUUUAGCUUCACUGUGAGUCUGGUUUAUUGUUUUUGCCUAUGACCAAUUGGCUAAUCUGUUGGGGAUCUCUGCGUAAACUGGGGAAGGUGAAGUUUUCUUCAUUACUUUUUCUUCAGUUUAGUGAAAUCCUCUCUAGUGUGGUUCCCGGUAAGGUUGAUGUAUACAACAGCCAGUGGUUUUCGUGAUGGAGUAGCUCUUUUAUUGUGGUGCAGAGUGUAUGUUAUUGGGUUUGGAUAUCCAAUUUGUUUUAAGGUUUCAAAUGAGGGUUGGGUCUUAGGCUGUGUUUGGGCUUCAGAGAUUAACUAGAUUCUAAGUGUAAUAGUCUUUAUUGGGCUCGG
rnacentral:misc_RNA from 1 species